rnacentral:rRNA from 1 species
GACGGACCGUCCAAACGUUAUUCGGAUUCAUUGGGCUUAAAGGGUGCGUAGGCGGCCCGGAAAGUUGGGUGUGAAAGCCCUCGGCUUAACCGAGGAAUUGCGCCCAAAACUACCGGGCUUGAGGGAGAUAGAGGUGGGCGGAACUUAGGGUGGAGCGGUGAAAUGCGUUGAUAUCCUAAGGAACACCCGUGGCGAAAGCGGCUCACUGGGUCUCUUCUGACGCUGAGGCAAGAAAGCCAGGGGAGCGAACGGG